rnacentral:tRNA from 1 species
UGUAGGUUAGUUUAAUAAAAAUUAUUGAUUUCGACUCAAUAGACCCUGCUUGACCAGGACCUCCAA